AGAAGGUGUCUCCGGGGCGGCGACGGUCUAAGUUCCCUGGAACGGGGCGUCAAAGAGGGUGAGAAUCCCGUACGUGAUUGCCAGCCAACCCGAUGUGAGGCCCUUUCGACGAGUCGAGUUGUUUGGGAAUGCAGCUCAAAAUGGGUGGUAAAUUUCAUCUAAAGCUAAAUACCGGCCAGAGACCGAUAGCGCACAAGUAGAGUGAUCGAAAGAUGAAAAGCACUUUGGAAAGAGAGUUAAAAAGCAUGUGAAAUUGUUGAAGGGGAAGCGCUUGCAACCAGACUUGCCCGCGGGUGAUCAACCUUUUCCCUCGGGGAUUGGCGUACUCAUCCACGAACAGGCCAGCAUCGGUUUUAACCGUCGGACGAAGGCUCAAGGAAUGUGGCUUCCUCCGGGGAGUGUUAUAGCCUUGGGCGUAAUGCGGCGAGUUGGGACCGAGGACCGCACUUUAUAGUUAGGAUGUUGGCGUAAUGGUUGCUAGCGACCCGUCUUGAAACACGGACCAAGGAGUCGACCAACCAUGCGAGUGUUUGGGCAUUAAACCCACACGCGUAAUGAAAGUGAACGGAGGUGGGAACCCUUUUGGGGGCGCACCAUCGACCGAUCCUGAUGUCUUCGGAUGGAUUUGAGUAUGAGCAUAAUUGGUUGGACCCGAAAGAUGGUGAACUAUGCCUGAGUAGGGUGAAGUCAGGGGAAACCCUGAUGGAGGCUCGCAGCGGUUCUGACGUGCAAAUCGAUCGUCAAACUUGGGUAUAGGGGCGAAAGACUAAUCGAACC
rnacentral:rRNA from 1 species